GUUGCAGUCAUGUGUGGUUGCACUAAUAAAGAGUAUUUGAAAAUAUAUACUUUAUUCUCAUUGGCUGAACCUUAUUUUUCAUCUUACGGUAACUCUUACUUACGGGAAAAGUUUGAAUCAUUUCAAACUUUUUUUCUUACAGACACACAGGCAUAUACAGGCAUACGCUUACGGAAAAUCGCUAGUGUAGAUUGAACGGAAUAAGCUUUCCGUAUGCCUGUAUCGAGUCUGUAUGUAUGUAUGACCGUAACUUGUCUUUAAAAACUGCUAGUAUAGACGCACCUUAAGCCCUACAUAUUUUUUCCUCAGUAUUCUCAUUUUGGUUGUAACCCAUGAGCUGUUUGCUUCUAGAUGAGUUAACUUACUUCUUCAUUUUCAAUUUAAAGUACUUGUGUCACAAAAUUCUUAACUAAGAAUUCCAGUCAAUCCAGAGAAUCAUUGCCUUUUCCUUUAAAUUUUUUAGGUAAAAAUGAAGCUUACCUAUACAGCCUGUGUGUAAGGAAUCAUGACUACUGUGGAUUCUGUUGUUGACUGCAAUCCUCAUCUGUUCCAGGAAUCCAUGUUCUUGAUGAUUGCAUUCUUGGAGUGUUGAUGGCUACCAGCGUUUGUAUUCUAACAAUUCUACGGUGAACAAUUCUACAGCAGAAGAAAUCUAUCCCGAAAUUUUCAGUCCUCUUAAAAUAUGUGAGUGAUUUUUGAAAAAAUUUGAAUGAUUGAAUUUGAAUGGUCAUCUCUUGUGUGUUGAACGAAACUCAGGUGACAGAGCGGCCAUCAAUUCUUUGAUGCUGAUCAUUUGUGGCAUUCUAGCUUUUAUCUUUAACAGGAUUAUAGCUGAUGCAACUGCUUCAUCUAUCACUUCAUAACCUUUAUUUCAAUCGAUCAUAAAUCUGAAGUAAUUGGAUGUGUUUUCUGUUCAAUCCAGUUUAUUUGCAUGAAGAUAAACUGUACAUAAUUCUUAAUAGUAAAACAAAAGGUUUGGUUAACAAA